rnacentral:rRNA from 1 species
AGAGUUUGAUCAUGGCUCAGGACGAACGCUGGCGGCACGCUUAACACAUGCAAGUCGAACGAGAGAAGAGGAGCUUGCUUUUCUGAUCUAGUGGCGGACGGGUGAGUAACACGUGAGCAAUCUGCCUUUCAGAGGGGGAUACCGAUUGGAAACGAUCGUUAAUACCGCAUAACAUAAUUGAACCGCAUGAUUUGAUUAUCAAAGAUUUAUCGCUGAAAGAUGAGCUCGCGUCUGAUUAGCUAGUUGGUAAGGUAACGGCUUACCAAGGCGACGAUCAGUAGCCGGACUGAGAGGUUGAUCGGCCACAUUGGGACUGAGACACGGCCCAGACUCCUACGGGAGGCAGCAGUGGGGAAUAUUGCACAAUGGAGGAAACUCUGAUGCAGCGAUGCCGCGUGAGGGAAGAAGGUUUUAGGAUUGUAAACCUCUGUCUUCAGGGACGAAAAAAGACGGUACCUGAGGAGGAAGCUCCGGCUAACUACGUGCCAGCAGCCGCGGUAAUACGUAGGGAGCGAGCGUUGUCCGGAAUUACUGGGUGUAAAGGGAGCGUAGGCGGGAUCGCAAGUAAGAUGUGAAAACUAUGGGCUUAACCCAUAAACUGCAUUUGAAACUGUGGUUCUUGAGUGAAGUAGAGGUAAGCGGAAUUCCUAGUGUAGCGGUGAAAUGCGUAGAUAUUAGGAGGAACAUCAGUGGCGAAGGCGGCUUACUGGGCUUUAACUGACGCUGAGGCUCGAAAGCGUGGGGAGCAAACAGGAUUAGAUACCCUGGUAGUCCACGCCGUAAACGAUGAUUACUAGGUGUGGGGGGACUGACCCCUUCCGUGCCGCAGCAAACGCAAUAAGUAAUCCACCUGGGGAGUACGACCGCAAGGUUGAAACUCAAAGGAAUUGACGGGGGCCCGCACAAGCAGUGGAGUAUGUGGAUUAAUUCGAAGCAACGCGAAGAACCUUACCAGGUCUUGACAUCGUAUGCAUAGCUCAGAGAUGAGUGAAAUCUCUUCGGAGACAUAUAGACAGGUGGUGCAUGGUUGUCGUCAGCUUGUGUCGUGAGAUGUUGGGUUAAGUCCCGCAACGAGCGCAACCCCUAUUGUUAGUUGCUACGAAAGAGCACUCUAGCGAGACUGCCGUUGACAAAACGGAGGAAGGCGGGGACGACGUCAAAUCAUCAUGCCCCUUAUGUCCUGGGCUACACACGUAAUACAAUGGUGGCCAACAGAGGGAAGCGAAGCCGUGAGGCAGAGCAAAUCCCUAAAAGCCAUCUCAGUUCGGAUUGCAGGCUGCAACUCGCCUGCAUGAAGCUGGAAUUGCUAGUAAUCGCGGAUCAGCAUGCCGCGGUGAAUACGUUCCCGGGCCUUGUACACACCGCCCGUCACACCAUGAGAGUCGGGAACACCCGAAGUCCGUAGUCUAACCGCAAGGGGGGCGCGGCCGAAGGUGGGUCCGGUAAUUGGGGUGAAGUCGUAACAAGGUA